rnacentral:lncRNA from 1 species
CGUGACCUCCUUCAUCAUCUCCUAUAUAUCUGGGAACUUUCAUGGAUAUAUAAUUUUCCUAGGUAAUAUAUCUUACAUGAUAUGUAGAGUUUUUCGAUUUUAUAUUUUUUUAUGUACCAAUCGUUUUAUGGUGACAAGAUGUUUUUCUUUGGGAAUAUGAUUUUUUGUUUUCUAUUCUUCCAGAUGCUCUGAUAAGAUUUUCCAAUACUAUCGACACUCCUCAACGUUUCUUGUCACCACCCCAUUUAUUGCCCCCUAUCUUACACUCCUCAAAAUUACACUCUAACUUGUCAUCUCCUAGAUACUGUCCUUUAAUAAAGAGGAAGAGAAAGAAGAAAAGAGGAGGAGGAGGAGGAGGAGGAGGAAGAAGAAGAUGAGGGUAUUUAUAUCCAUUUAUGAAAAGAUAAUUUUUAAGAUAUUAAAAAAAGAUUUUAAAUAGUAAUAUCCUUAAUAAUAAUAUUUUAUCAUUUAUAACCACUCCAAUUUUGAUUUUAACCUUUUAUUCUUUUUUUUUCCUUCCUCACAUGCCAUCUCCGUAAUACUACUUGUUGCCCCCAACCCACCCCUUAGCUCGUGCUUGUCACUUAUUGCCGCCCUUAACUUAGCACUCGUUACCAAUCAUUACCCCUAACUUGCUUUCCAAUCGUCGAUCGUCACCCCUUAGCUCGCACUCAUUGUUGUCUAUCGUUGUCCCUCAUCUCACUCUCCGUUAGCCCCAACUUUACUCAUUGCUCCCUUGAUAUUAUCUUUGCACGAGAUGAAAACGGAAGAAGAAAGAGAUAUUUAUAUUUUAUUUAUGAAAUAAUAAUUUUAAAAAAAAUUGUAAAUUGUAAUAUCUUGUGGUUAUUGUUUUAAUCUCACAUUUAUCCAUUAGGAUGCAAUGAUGGAAUUCAUCUGUUGCUAUGGAUCAUUAUAUCUGUAAACAGAUCAUAACUACUCUGUCAGAUUCUUAAUCGCAUUACUUUAGCAAAAGCCUGUUCUUGCUUUAGCGAUCAAUGAUUGGGUAUCCCAAGUAUUAUAAUUCCAUGUGUGUAAAGCAUGAAUAUAUUGAAGGCUAAAUAGGUUUCAAAGCCAACCAAAAGAUGAACUCUUGAUGAUUGUUAGGCUAAUUGAGACAGCCUUUGCCAUCAUUAUAUAGGUUAAUUUAGCAGAUGAAUCCAAGCUUCCUCUUGGAAGAGAGAACCUUAAAAAUGGGCACCAUUGAAUAGAAAUAUCGAUUCACUUUGAGCCUUCUUGGCAGUUCUCGCAGAAAUCAUUGCUUUGAUGAUAUUAUAAUUAUGCAUACUUAACUUGAGUUCCUCCCCCAAAAGGUUUCCCUCUUUGUUUUGGUGGAAUAAUACAGCCUUUCUGUGAUCGUGCAGUUCUUCUUUCUAUCUCUCUGCUUUAUCCUCCAUGCUUAAAGGCAUGCGGAGAAGUCGGUCUCUGCUUUGAGAUGUGAUAUCACGGGCUCAGGUUAAUGAAUCCAAACAAAGAAAGGGCUUCACAUGAGCAGGGCAAUGACUGCCCAGUUGCUGAGGAUGUUGGAAAUGUCACAUUAUUGUCACCCGAGGAAGAGAGAAGUGGUCCAUGAACAGAGCUGGUCCUCUUUCUUCACAGAAUCACAGUAACUCAACAGCCAUGAUUCUCUCUCUAUCACCUUUUUCUCUCUGAACUUUGGACCAGCAGGCCACAAGAAAGGACGGUCCUUCAAAGUAAUAAUGGUGGCACAUAUGUAGGGUCUUUCUCCACAGGCAAAGAACUUAAUCGCUCAUCACCAUACAAUCCAUCAUCUUGGAUCUCUAGGCGGAUCAAUGGCAGAUGAUAGAUAUGUGUUGGAUGGUUAUGGGAUUUCUUAUUUAUUUUUAUUUUUUUAGGUUGCUUUGUGAUAAACUCAUCAUAUGGAAUUCUUGGGCUUGAUAAAUAUUUCUUUUUUAAUUUU